UAUAUACACGAGCGCGUGCUCCUCGAGCUGACCGAGCUCGUGCUCGAGCACAAAAUGUCGUUUUUUCGAGAUGGUCUCAUCUUUCGCACUUGUACCUUCGGGACGAUGUAAAUAAACGGUGUUUGAAACAGAACUCCGGGUCGAAGUACAUAACUGACAGUACAUUCGACGUGGUGCUGCAAGGACUCACGAAAGUAGCAGCAGUUCUAUUAUAUCCAUUCGGGAUUAAUCGGCAAUGACUUCACAGACAAGUUCCUCGGGUGUGCCUUUUUGGCAUCGGCGAACUAAACAGUGAACACUACGACUCUUGGAGUCUUGGAGCUUUGACAGAGAACGACUGGACUUUUACUUUGAAGCCGUGAAUGUCACGAACGACGACAAGAAACGUGCCGCAUUUACGACAGUAUGUGCAACUAUAUGGACAAUCUCCACGAAGGAUGUCUUCCAAAACCCAACGCAUAACAAGCGGAGGCACGCCGGAAAAACAAAAACAAUCAACUCUUGGAGCAAACACGAAUGCAAACUUAUCUCCGAGUGGCACAACUGCAGUGGGAACAGUAUGUUCGGCAAAGCGAACCAAUCACUUUGGUAGAAUGUAUCCGAGCCAACGGUCCGAUCUUGGGGGAGCGAGCGCUCGGGGAAGGCAGGAAGGCAGGUCACGCUCGCGACGUGGGUUGGAAGCGGCGUCUCCGGACGACUCUGGAAAAGUCUGGCGGGAAAUAAAAAGUGGCAGCAACGAAGAUGGUGGACAAUAGCGAAUACCAGUCACGAUUUCAAUUAGUACUUUCCAUCUUGCAAGUGGCAUUGGAUCGCGGCGAUCGGUGGUAUUUCGGGCUGUACAGGAAUAGAUAAAACUUUUUCCAGCCA